rnacentral:rRNA from 1 species
AGAGUUUGAUCAUGGCUCAGGAUGAACGCUAGCGGCAGGCCUAACACAUGCAAGUCGAGGGGCAGCGGGGGUAGCAAUAUUUGGUGGCGACCGGCGCACGGGUGCGUAACGCGUAUACAAUCUACCUUAAACAGGGGGAUAGCCUUUCGAAAGAGAGAUUAAUACCCCGUAAUAAAUUGAAUGGCAUCAUUUGAUUUUGAAAGCUCCGGCGGUUUGAGAUGAGUAUGCGUCUGAUUAGCUAGUUGGUGAGGUAACGGCUCACCAAGGCGACGAUCAGUAGGGGAUCUGAGAGGACUAACCCCCACACUGGUACUGAGACACGGACCAGACUCCUACGGGGAGGCAGCAGUAAGGAAUAUUGGUCAAUGGAGGCAACUCUGAACCAGCCAUGCCGCGUGCAGGAUGACGGCCCUAUGGGUUGUAAACUGCUUUUAUACAAGAGAAAACCCUGGUACGUGUACCAGGUUGAUAGUAUUGUAAGAAUAAGCAUCGGCUAACUUCGUG